GACAGAGGUCCCGAGCGUUAGGCGGAAUCACUGGGCUUAAAGCGUGUGUAGGCGGAUUGGUAAGUACCUUGUGAAAUCCCACGGCUUAACCGUGGAACUGCUUGGUAUACUGCUUAUCUUGGGCCACUUAGGGGUUACCGGAACAAACGGUGGAGCGGUGAAAUGCGUAGAUAUCGUUUGGAACGCCAAUGGUGAAAACAGGUAACUGGGAGUGUGCCGACGCUGAGACACGAAAGCCAGGGGAGCGAACGGG
rnacentral:rRNA from 1 species